rnacentral:rRNA from 1 species
UUCUCUAAGAAAUAACUUAAAGUAAAACCUGCUCAAUGAUAUAGUAAAUAGCUGCAGUAUAACUGUACUAAGGUAGCACAAUCACUUGCUUCUUAAUUAGAAGAUAGUAUGAAUGGUUAAACAUUUAAAAAAUGUCUCUACACCUUAACAAAAUUAAUUUAAGAGUAAAAAUACUCCUAUACAAAAGUAAGACGACAAGACCCUGAUAAACUUAAAAUUUAGUUGGGGAAACAAAACAAAAAAACUUUAAUAUAAUCCACACCCACCUUAAACAUUAAUAAAAGAAUAGUUACUACAGGGAUAACAGCGCAAUUCUUUUCUAGAGAUCAAAUCCAAAAAAGAGCUUACGACCUCGAUGUUGAAUUAUUUAUCCUAAACAGCGCAAUAGCCUAUAAGGUAGUCUGUUCGACCAUUAAAAAUU